CAAUUGGUGAUGAUAGCAGCAAGUUCGCAGAGAAAUGACAGUUUCUAAAGUGGUGAUAAGAUACUAGUAGCAGUAAGAUUACUCUGGGAUGGCAGAGGCAUUGGUGAUGAUAGCAGCAAGUUGAUGGAAACAUAACAAAUGAGGUGGCAGCAGCAAUGGUGUUAUCAUGGUGGAGGAGGCAUAAUGGUGGAAGGGUUGGUUGGCAG
rnacentral:misc_RNA from 1 species